rnacentral:lncRNA from 1 species
UCUCCUUUUUUAUAUUUCUCGUAUUUACAUAACUCAUCUUAUAUUAUCGCAUUUGGAAUAUUAUAUAAACUACAUCUAUACAUUGAUAUUUCUACUUUUAUCUAUAUAUGUCUUAUUUUUCAUUUUAUUUGCAUUUUUUAUUUUUCAGUUAUUUAUUUAUUUAUUAGUCUAAUAUUUAAUUUUUGUUUCAUUUUUAUUUUUG